AGUGAACGCUGGCGGUAGGCCUAACACAUGCAAGUCGAACGGCAGCACAGUAAGAGCUUGCUCUUACGGGUGGCGAGUGGCGGACGGGUGAGGAAUACAUCGGAAUCUACUUUUUCGUGGGGGAUCACGUAGGGAAACUUACGCUAAUACCGCAUACGCCCUACGGGUGAAAGCAGUGGAUCUUCGGACCUUGCGCGAUUGAAUGAGCCGAUGUCGGAUUAGCUAGUUGGCGGGGUAAAGGCCCACCAAGGCGACGAUCCGUAGCUGGUCUGAGAGGAUGAUCAGCCACACUGGAACUGAGACACGGUCAAGACUCCUACGGGAGGCAGCAGUGGGGAAUAUUGGACAAUGGGCGCAAGCCUGAUCCAGCCAUACCGCGUGGGUGAAGAAGGCCUUCGGGUUGUAAAGCCCUUUUGUUGGGAAAGAAAAGCAGCAGGUUAAUACCCCGCUGUUCUGACGGUACCCAAAGAAUAAGCACCGGCUAACUUCGUG
rnacentral:rRNA from 1 species